AAUCAGGUGUUCCUCCUCCUGCAGAGAGGAACCAACCUGAACCUGAACCUGGACCCAGCUGUGUGUCCUUAAAGAGCGACUGGUCAAAGGAUAUUGGUGAUGACUUUAAAAUAGGAGUUUCAUCUAGCAAAGAUGGUUCUCUGGAUUUGUAAGCCCAGCAUUCAAAUCAUGUAUUGAAGCUUCAGUUUCACACUCUCAUCACUACUUUUGUCCUUUUUGGCAUAUAAUAAAACCCAAAGUUUGAAAAUGCACCUGUGCCUGUUUGCUCUUGGCAGCUUGGUCCCUGAUACCUGGUGACACGUUUGUCUUCAUGAAGGUUUAUGGAUCAUUGUUAUAUCUCACUCUGGGCUGUGAGCAAUAAACUUUCAAUCCAAGGUUUAAAGAUAUUUUCUGGAAUAAAAAAUGCAACAAAGUGUAAAACAAGGAGCUCACAUGUCUGUAACAGUUUCCUGUCAGACACCAGAACUAAAAGAGUUUUUUGUCUUGUUUACAGAAAAUCACUGAAAUGUUCAGUCAGUCUGUGGAUUGAUACUCUAAAUGUUCCAGUGUUUUAUGAUUUUUAUUUAUUUAUUUAUUUAUUUGUAGUGUUGUAAACUGUAAAGCACUUUAGUGCUAUAGAGUCAAAGUCUACUUACUGAUGUGUUUUUUAAGGUUCCUAGCUUUAUGGAGCACUUUUUUUUAGAGCAAUAAACUCUUUUUCCAGGCUAAAUGAGUAUCUUUCAAGUUAGUGAGAUGCCAUUUCCUCUCCAGGUUAUCUGCUUUAAGCUGCACAUUUGUGAAUUAUACCACAGAGUCAGGCAUUUAUGGUCCAUGUUGUCUCAUGUCCAGGCCUUUCUAUGUUAUCUGUUAUCUACAAUCUCAUUGUACAUCCUCUA